rnacentral:rRNA from 1 species
GACAAACGCUGGCGGCGUGCCUAACACAUGCAAGUCGAGCGCGAAACAGACUUCGGUCUGGAGUAAAGCGGCGAACGGGUGAGUAACACGUGGGCAACCUGCCUCAAGGACUGGGAUAACGUUGGGAAACUAACGCUAAUACAGGAUACGCACUUCGGGAGAAAGAUUUAUCGCUGAAAGAUUGGCCCGCGUCUGAUUAGCUAGUUGGUGAGGUAAUGGCUCACCAAGGCUACGAUCAGUAGCUGAUCUGAGAGGAUGAUCAGCCACAUUGGGACUGAGACACGGCCCAAACUCCUACGGGAGGCAGCAGUGGGGAAUCUUGGACAAUGGGGGAAACCCUGAUCCAGCCAUGCCGCGUGAUCGAUGAAGGCCUUAGGGUUGUAAAGAUCUUUCAGCGAGGAAGAUAAUGACGGUACUCGCAGAAGAAGCCCCGGCUAACUCCGUGCCAGCAGCCGCCGUAAGAC